UCACCUUAAAUAGAAUACUAUUUAUAACAUAGACUUAUAUAUGAUUGUUUUCUUCUCCUUUUUUCAGUAGCCAUCGGCUGUAAUCUUCGGCACAAAUUAGACAAUUGUAGAGCAUAUCUGAAAGAAUAUAAUAAAAUAAAAAGGCGUUAAUUAAAGAUUAUAUCCGAUGAAACAUAGAAGAUAAUUGAAACUCUAAAACUCAAAAUAUCACCAGAAAAUUAAAGAAAUCCCAAAAGAAAAAAAUGUACGUAGAUAAAGAAUCUUCAAUAGCUGAUACACUAAGGAUCAAAUACCUACCAUGAAUGAGAAAAUACAACUAACUUAUUGACAAGUAUGUGAAAAUCCAAACUAAAAUAUCUUAGAAAAAUAUAUGCCUCCCAAAACAAUAGGAAACUAACGUAUACACAACAAAUUAUGACUAUUAAUAAACAAAGGAAAAUCACAGAAAAAACCUCACCAAAACAAAACUUAUAUAUGACUAAUUUCUUCUCAUUUUUUCAAUAGCCACCGGUUGUCAUAUCUAGCACAAAUUAGACAAUUAUAGAGCAUGUAUGAAAGAAUAGAAUAAAAGAAAGGAAGGUGUCAGUUAAAGAUUAUAUUCGAAGAAACAGAGAAGAUGAUUGAAAAGACAAGAGGGGUUGCUCUAAUGGUAAGAAAUCCCACUUCCAAUCGAGAUGUUGUAAGUUCGAGUCUCCCAAGAGCAAGGUGGGAAGUUCUUGGAGGGAAGGAUGCCAGGGAUCUAUUUGGAAACAACCUCUCUACCCCAGGGAAGGGUUAAGGUCUGCCUACACACUACCCUCCCCAGAUCCCACUGGGCUGUUGUUAUUGUUGUAGAGAAGAUGAUUGAAGCUCUAAAACUCAAAAUAUCACUAGAAAAACAGAGAAAUUUCGAAAGGACAAAAUGUAUGCAUGUAAAGAAUAUUCAAUAGCAGAUGCACUAAGAAUCAAAUACCUACCAUGAAUGAGAAAAUCCAACUAAACUAUUGACAUGCAUGUGAAAAUCCAUAAAAUAUUUUUAAAAAAUAUAUAUAUGCUCACCAAAAGAAUAGGAAAUUAAUGUAUACCCAACAAAUUGUGACUACUAACAAACAACGAAAAAUUACAGGAAAAAAACUCACUAAAACAAUUAGACUUAUGUAUGACUAUUUUCUUCUCCUUUUUUCAGUAGCUACCGGUUGUCAUCUUCAAUACAAAUUAGACAAUAGUAUAGUAUAUCUGAAAGAAUAGAAGAAAAACGAAAGGAAGACAUUGGUUAAAGAUUAUGUUCGAAGAAACAAAGAAGAUGAUUAAAACUUCAGAAAUCAAAAUAUAACCAGAAAAAUAGAGAAAUUCCAAACGGAAAAUAAAAAGUCGAUAACAAGCAAACAAACAGAAGAAGAUAAAAA
rnacentral:lncRNA from 1 species